rnacentral:rRNA from 1 species
AGUGAACGCUGGCGGUAGGCCUAACACAUGCAAGUCGAACGGCAGCACAGUAAGAGCUUGCUCUUACGGGUGGCGAGUGGCGGACGGGUGAGGAAUACAUCGGAAUCUACUUUUUCGUGGGGGAUAACGUAGGGAAACUUACGCUAAUACCUCAUACUACCUACGGGUGAAAGCAGGGGAUCUUCGGACCUUGCGCGAUUGAAUGAGCCGAUGUCGGAUUAGCUAGUUGGCGGGGUAAAGGCCCACCAAGGCGACGAUCCGUAGCUGGUCUGAGAGGAUGAUCAGCCACACUGGAACUGAGACACGGUCCAGACUCCUACGGGAGGCAGCAGUGGGGAAUAUUGGACAAUGGGCGCAAGCCUGAUCCAGCCAUACCGCGUGGGUGAAGAAGGCCUUCGGGUUGUAAAGCCCUUUUGUUGGGAAAGAAAAGCAGCAGGUGAAUACCCCGAUGUUCUGACGGUACCCAAAGAAUAAGCACCGGCUAACUUCGUG